rnacentral:rRNA from 1 species
GACAGAGGGUGCAAACGUUGUUCGGAAUUACUGGGCGUAAAGAGCGUGUAGGCGGCCCGGUAAGUCCGCUGUGAAAGUCCAGGGCUCAACCCUGGAAUGCCGGUGGAAACUGUCGGGCUAGAGUCCGGAAGAGGCGAGUGGAAUUCCUGGUGUGGCGGUGAAAUGCGCAGAUAUCAGGAGGAACACCAAUGGCGAAGGCAGCUCGCUGGGACGGUACUGACGCUGAGACGCGAAAGCGUGGGGAGCAAACAGG